CCGAAGCUGCGGCAGCGACACUAUGUGUUGUUGGGUAGGGGAGCGUUCUGUAAGCCGUUGAAGGUGUGUCGUGAGGCAUGCUGGAGGUAUCAGAAGUGCGAAUGCUGACAUAAGUAACGAUAAAGCGGGUGAAAAACCCGCUCGCCGGAAGACCAAGGGUUCCUGUCCAACGUUAAUCGGGGCAGGGUGAGUCGACCCCUAAGGCGAGGCCGAAAGGCGUAGUCGAUGGGAAACAGGUUAAUAUUCCUGUACUUGGUGUUACUGCGAAGGGGGGACGGAGAAGGCUAUGUUGGCCGGGCGACGGUUGUCCCGGUUUAAGCGUGUAGGUUUGCAGACCAGGUAAAUCCGGUCUGCUUCAAGACUGAGACGUGAUGACGAGGCACUACGGUGCUGAAGUAACAAAUGCCCUGCUUCCAGGAAAAGCCUCUAAGCAUCAGGUAACACGAAAUCGUACCCCAAACCGACACAGGUGGUCAGGUAGAGAAUACCAAGGCGCUUGAGAGAACUCGGGUGAAGGAACUAGGCAAAAUGGUGCCGUAACUUCGGGAGAAGGCACGCUGAUACGUAGGUGAAGCGGUUUACCCGUGGAGCUGAAAUCAGUCGAAGAUACCAGCUGGCUGCAACUGUUUAUUAAAAACACAGCACUGUGCAAACACGAAAGUGGACGUAUACGGUGUGACGCCUGCCCGGUGCCGGAAGGUUAAUUGAUGGGGUUAGCGCAAGCGAAGCUC
rnacentral:rRNA from 1 species